rnacentral:rRNA from 1 species
GCAUAUCAAUAAGCGGAGGAAAAGAAACCAACAGGGAUUGCCUUAGUAACGGCGAGUGAAGCGGCAAAAGCUCAAAUUUGAAAUCUGGCACCUUCGGUGUCCGAGUUGUAAUUUGAAGAAGGUAACUUUGGAGUCAGCUCUUGUCUAUGUUCCUUGGAACAGGACGUCACAGAGGGUGAGAAUCCCGUGCGAUGAGAUGUCUGAUUCUAUGUAAAGUGCUUUCGAAGAGUCGAGUUGUUUGGGAAUGCAGCUCUAAGUGGGUGGUAAAUUCCAUCUAAAGCUAAAUAUUGGCGAGAGACCGAUAGCGAACAAGUACAGUGAUGGAAAGAUGAAAAGAACUUUGAAAAGAGAGUGAAAAAGUACGUGAAAUUGUUGAAAGGGAAGGGUUUGAGAUCAGACUUGGUAUUUUGUAUGUCUUGCUUUCGGGUGGGGCCUCUACAGUUUACUGGGCCAGCAUCGGUUUGGACGGUAGGAUAAUGACAUUGGAAUGUGGCACCACUUCGGUGGUGUGUUAUAGACUUUGUUGAUACUGCCUGUCUAGACCGAGGACUGCGUCUUUGACUAGGAUGCUGGCAUAAUGAUCUUAAACCGCCCGUCUUGAAACACGGACC